rnacentral:rRNA from 1 species
AGAGUUAGAUCCUUGCUCAGGAUGAACGCUGGCGGCAUGCCUAAGACAUGCAAGUCGAACGAGAUGGCCCAGUGAAGGUUGCGUGCUUGCACAAGACUGAAUCUGGAUCACCAUCUAGUGGCAGACGGGUGAGUAACACGUGGGUGACCUACCUUUUCGUUGGGGAUAACAGUUGGAAACGAUUGCUAAUACCGAAUAAAAUAUAAGAGCCAAUUUUAUAUUGAAAGGAGCCUUUAAAGCUUCGCGAUUAGAUGGGCCUGCGGCGUAUUAACUUGUUGGUGAGGUAACGGCUCACCAAGGUAACGAUGCGUAGCCGAACUGAGAGGUUGAUCGGCCACACUGGGACUGAGACACGGCCCAGACUCCUACGGGAGACAGCAGUUAGGAAUAUUCGUCAAUGGGGGAAACCCUGAACGAGCAAUGCCGCGUGAGUGAUGACGGUCCUUUGGAUUGUAAAACUCUGUUGUAUGGAAAAAAUGACUAGGUUAGGAAAUGAACCUAAUGUGAUGGUACCAUACCAGAAAGCCCCGGCUAACUACGUGCCAGCAGUCGCGGUAAUACGUAGGGGGCAAGCGUUAUCCGGAUUUAUUGGGCGUAAAGCCUGUGUAGGCGGUUUGUUAAGUUUAAGAUUAAAGCCUGGGGCUCAACUCCAGUUCGUCUUAAAAACUGGCAGACUAGAGUACGGUAGAGGCAAACGGAAUUUCUAGUGUAGCGGUGAAAUGCGUAGAUAUUAGAAGGAACACCAGUGGCGAAAGCGGUUUGCUGGGCCGUUACUGACGCUGAGGCACGAAAGC